GUAGGUGAACCUGCGGAAGGAUCAUUAUCGUAGGGCUUCGGCCCUGUCGAGAUAGAACCCUUGCCUUUUUCGAGUACCGUCCGUUUCCCCAGCAGGCUUGCCUGCUACCGGGGACCCAAAACCAAACUCUUUUGUACCUGUAAUCGUCUGAAAACAAAACAAAAAUUAAAACUUUUAACAACGGAUCUCUUGGUUCUG
rnacentral:misc_RNA from 1 species